rnacentral:rRNA from 1 species
CGCCUUGCCAGCCCGCUCAGAAACUCAAAUGAAUUGACGGGGGCCCGCACAAGCGGUGGAGCAUGUGGUUUAAUUCGAUGAUACGCGAGGAACCUUACCUGGGCUCAAAUGUAUGUUGACGUAUUCUGAAAGGGAUACUUCUUCGGACAAUAUACAAGGUGCUGCAUGGUUGUCGUCAGCUCGUGCCGUGAGGUGUCGGGUUAAGUCCCAUAACGAGCGCAACCCCUAUCAUUAGUUGCCAUCAGGUCAAGCUGGGGACUCUAAUGAAACUGCCUACGCAAGUAGUGAGGAAGGUGGGGAUGACGUCAAAUCAGCACGGCCCUUACGUCCAGGGCUACACACGUGCUACAAUGGUCGGUACAAAGGGUUGCCAAGCCGCGAGGUGGAGCUAAUCCCAUAAAACCGAUCGUAGUCCGGAUCGCAGUCUGCAACUCGACUGCGUGAAGUCGGAAUCGCUAGUAAUCGUGAAUCAGAAUGUCACGGUGAAUACGUUCCCGGGCCUU